ensembl:rRNA 5S_rRNA 5S ribosomal RNA
GUCUCAGGCCGUAUCAAUCUGAAGGCGCCCGAUCUCGUCUGAUCUCGGAAGCUAAGCAAGGUCGGGCCUGGUUAGGAUCUUGGAUGGGAGACCACCUGGGAAUCCCGGGUGCUCGAGGCU